rnacentral:lncRNA from 1 species
UUUGAGUUUUGGAUAAUAUAUAUAGUGGGUUUUUUGGUGCUUAAGAAAAAUACCUGUUAAACCAAGGAUUACCCAUUGUGAUUUACUUGUUCCUUAAGAGAGAGACUUUAGGCAUCAGCUCUGGGACUGUGGGAUCUCUUUUUGCCUCUGUCACUGCUGGGGAAUCGCAGCUCCGGACUGACCUGAGCUGGUCACUGAAACUUAGGAAACUCUUUGCCUAUUGACUUCUUCACGUGGAAACCGAUCCGCUGAAAGCAAAAAGAAACCAUUUCUUGGAGCGGGGGG